GCCCAUGCCACACUAGGCUGUGGUAUGGCUGCUUCAUCACUGCCUCUGUGCUGCCCAGCAUGGCAGCAGUGGAGCAGCCUCUGGGCAGCACAGAGGCGGUGGUGAAGCAGCCACACCACAGCCUAGCGU
rnacentral:pre_miRNA from 1 species